rnacentral:lncRNA from 1 species
AUUUCAAACACAUUUCUAAGUUCAUAAAUUUAAUUUGGUGCACUGGCAAUAGUUUAAAAUGAGUCUUAUUUUUAUGGGUAUGACUUGCUGCUGUGUGGAAAACUAAAUUGUUACUGGAACCGAAUAAACACCACAUGAAUCUUUAAAUACAGUUUCAAACAUACUGUGGUGAGGUAAAUAAACUUCAUAAUUACUGUGAUAGAUUAACUAUAAAAUCUUGUUAGGAUACUGUUUUAUACCCUUACAGGAAGCAACACAGCCAAGUACAGUUAUCAGGGAUUUUUGGGGAAAUCCUAGUUUUGCAUAAUACAUGUAAUUUGAAUUCUGUGCAAUAGUUGGAAAAUAGAUGAAAAUAAUUUUACAUGGAAUAUUCUUGUCCACAUUAGGACAAUUUCAUGAGGUGGUCUUCAAGGGCCAAGUCAGUACAAAUGCUUCCUGAGUUACAAAUUACACCGGGAUGUAGGCACCCAUUCAGACCUCUCCAUGUCUUGGGAGGAUGAUUUGGGAAGACAGACAUCCUCGACAUUCUCUCUUCGCCUUGAACAAAUACAGCAGAAUCAUAUGGCUGCUGUUUUUCAUGGUUUUCAGAGCUCAUCAGUGAUCUCCAGUUUAUUAUCAAAAGCAGUUAAGUGAUUAAUCUCCCUGUCAGAGGAAGAAACUGGACCUACAUUGGCUGCUUCAGAGGCACUUGUACAACCCAAGAUAUGCAAAAGAUGAGCACCACUGAUUUUUGAAGGGGCAAACAGAUCCCCGCUGAGAUGAAGUCUGAGCAGAACUGCAGCCAGAUGAAAGCUCAUGGUAGAGAAGAUGAACAGUAUGAGGAUGUGGAUGAGAAUGACCACCAACUCCAUGACUUCUGAAGAGAAAUGUAUCAUCUACUGGGUUCCCUGCAUCUAGUGAUUUCAUUUGAAUUAUGGAGAAGCUUCAAUGCUGUGCAGAGAACAUGCAAGGAGUCAGUGGGAGGCAGGGAUAAGAGAAGUGAUGACUAAACCCCCUGGUAAAUCUGAGCCUAAUAAUUAAAUAGGAAAAAAAAAGGGGGGGGGGGAGAGGCUGGAAGAGAGGGGGAGAGAGAAAGAGAGAGAGAAAGAAAGAAUGAAGGAAGAAGGAAAGAAAGGAAGGAAGGUUUACAAUUCUUGGUGCUUAUGAAGAGUGGGUAUAGGUUUUCAUGUGGGUUUUGGAAUAAUAAAAAAUAAAACUAAAAAUAUAAUAAUAAUAAU